GGAAUUGCACCCCAGUCCUCUGGAAGAGCAGCCAAUGCUCUUAACCAGUGAGCCAUCUCUCCAGCUUGUAAGCAUACCAUUUUAUCUGAUUCAUUUGUCCUUUUGUCUAUCCAUCAUGCAUAUAUGAAGAACUUAUUCCAUGUUGGGCACUGGUAAAUGAAUGAAACAGGACAUGAUACUCAAAUUCUGGUGUGUAUAAAAAAUACCUAGUAAACUUGUUAAUAUUACCAUAUCAGUUGCAUUUUGUAUAACUAUGACAAAAAAACUCACAAGGAGGAAUUAUUAACUGUAGCUCAUGGUUUCUGAAGUUCAAGCUAUUGUUUCUUGGAGCCAUGUGAUUGGGAAGAACAUCAUGGGGGUGACAGGAAGCCACGAGCAGGACAGGAAGAGGUUGUAGAUAGACACUGCCAAGACCCAAGGCUAGAGAAAUGCUUCCUCCAAUUCAGCCCCUCUCCCUAACAUUUCCAGAACCGCCACAAAAAACACUACUAGCCAACAAUUUAAGCCCUAACACACGAGCCUGAGGGGUAGGGAGCAUCUCAUAUUUAAACCUUUUCCCAAGCCUAUCCUUUACAAUCAGUAGGUAAAGGGAAUAUAUGUAUUUUAUAACAAUCUCACCAUUUGGUUCUGAUUCACAACAACAAAAUAGAUCUAAUAAUCUGUGGGGAAAACUAAUGUAAUAAAAUGUAAAAGGUAUCAGAAGUAUGUAUGGGAUAAAAAAGUGAAGUAUUCAUCAGGGACAGUGAAUAGUAAAUGUUAUUAUAUUUGUAUUUUACCAUAGCAGAAAGCUGUACACACAAUGUUAUUGUAAAGUUCACCAAUGUUGGUGUUUUGGUUUGGGUUUUAAUAUAUUAUCCAUAUGAUUUACCCCCACUAAUACUGUUGAAAUGUCUUUGAAAGGAUCAUAAAAGUAAAAGACUGCUGUAAACACACAAGUAUUAUUCCAUCAGUGCGUAUCACUCCCUCUAGCAGGUGUGGGGAAGGUGUGUGAUGUUUCCCACUUGGAACUCUGGGGAGCUAUUCGGUGGCAUUGCAGGGCAGGGCUGGUUCUUUCAGAAAUAAAGGCAUGUUCUUCCCCCCGCCCCUCUGUCUAUGGAGCUCCUUUGCAGCCCAUUGCUAAAACAAGUUUGAAUGGUAUUGGAAAAGUUUUAUAUUAAAACCCCAAGGCUGACAUAAAGCACAAAACCCCAAGCCUUACACUGGAACCACUUUCUUUUGAAUGAUAACUGGUAGGUUGUUUUCUUUUUCUUUUUUCUCUCAAAAAGAGUUACUUAUUGACCACACAUGCCAAGUGACCUUGAACAGUAAGGAUGCAGAACAGUCUAAUUCCUAAUGAAGGGAAACUGAGAUGUUUGAUUUUCUAAUUUAAGAGGUAGAGGUAUAGAUUAUGGACAACUAUUAGCAAGCUCUAGUCAAAAAUAGCACAAGAAAUUUGAAAAUCUUUGAGAAUUUCUCCAGAGUGCCUCUUCAGAAUGUUUCUUGGUCCCCUGACUUAAUAGUUCUAGGAGAGUUUGAAAAGGUCCAGCCGGAGCACCAGAACCCCCGUUUUCUCUCCUCUACCUGGACAUCCAGAGAAACUACACAUCCUGACCUCCUUUAUGUCAUGUAUGGUCAUAUGACUAAGCUCUACCCACCGCACGUGAGUGCAAGUGACGUGCAUUACAGUAUUUCUGCCUUGGUUCUCCAUGUCUUCUCCAUCAGCUUCUUGAUGAUGGCAUCACCCAGACAGCCUUAAAAGCCUCAAGCAGCCUGAAUCCUUGGAUAACUGUGUGGAACAGAGGCAUCCCCUCCCAUUUCUUCAUAUUCUAGUGUCCAUGUGAUACCUGAGUGAAGCUUCUGGAAUGUUGUGGUAUGUGGAUAAAGGCAGCUGGGCUGCCCUCACACAGGGUGCAAGUACAUAGGAGAGUGUGGACUGUAAUGACAUGGUCCCGUCUGCUAUUUUUGGAGCCAAAGUCCUGAACAUCGUGCAUAAUUCUCAGGGAAAUGUUGCCCUUACUGUAAUCUCCCAUUGGGAAAAUUGUGUGGGAAAAGCUCCUCUGACUCCAAGGGGCAGGCAUAAGCUGUCAGGAAUAUUCUAACUCUCCAUGAAGUCUUAAGGACAUGGUCCUUCCACAACACAGAGGACAAGACAAACACUCAGAAGUUGUAAUGCCAAAAUUCGGAGAAAAUAAAAUGAGAAAAGCAAACCAGAGAUGUGGUCAUGAAGGCACUUGGCCUGCAGUGGAAACAGAACUAAAGCAUAGGGUUACCCUGUUAAUCAGCCUGAGCCACUUACUGAGACGACUCUUGAGAUCUAAUGACAAAGUAAAAAGGGCUGAAUUAUAAUUCAGUGGUAAAGUGCUUGCCUCACAUGUGCAAUGCCCUAGGCUCUAACCACAGUACCACUAAAUAAGCAAUACAAUACACUAAUAAUCUUUAAAAAAUGGUCUGACCCACAACUAACCACUGAACUGAACUGGAAUCCAGUUGCAGAGAAGGACAAGUGAAGAGCAAUGGGUCCCGACCAGGCUGGUGAAACCCACAGAAACAACUAACCUGAACAUUGGGGAACUCUUGCUCCCCAGACUGAUAGCUGGGGUACCAGCAUGGGACUGAUCCAGACCCCAGGAACAUGGGUUUCAGUGAGGAAACCUCUGAAUUCUAUGGGACCUGAUGUAGUAGUUCAGUACUUAUCUCUAGCAUAGGUGUGGACUUUGGGAGCUCAUUCCACAUAGAGGGAUACUCCCUGAACCAAAACACAUGGGGUUGGGCCUAGGCCCUAUCCCAAAGGAUAUGAUAGACUCUGAUGACACCCUAUGGAAGGCCUCACCAUCCAGGGGAAGCAGAAAGGAUAUGUGAUAGGUAGGGUUUUAGUUGGAUGGGCGUGGUAGGGGAAGGACAGGAAGGAGAAGGAAACUAGGAUUGUCAUGUAAAACAAUCUUGUUUCUAAUUCAAAUUUAAAAAAAUCUGGGAAAAAAAGAUGGUCUGAGCUCCUAGUAUGUCUCCCUGCCCUGGAAGCCACCUUUUACACUCCAAAACUCUACCAGCUAUGUGCCACCUCCCAGUGGGUCUGUAUGGUGCUGGUCAUUUCAAUCUCCUUACACAGAGAAACCAUUUAGAAAUUUACACCUUGAUUAUAUUUUCAUUUUAUUUAUUUCUAGCUGUUUAUUUUGUGUGUGUGUGUGUGCAUGCCAUGGUGCAUGCGUGGAGGUCAAGGGUAAAUUUUGAGAAUCUGUCCUCUCCUUUAACCAUGGUUUCUGGGAAUUGAACUUAGAGCAUCAGGCUUGCAUGCCAUGUACCUUCAUUCACUGAGCCAUCUCACUAGACCUGGAUUAUAUUUUUAACAUCAAUUUUACUCUUAGCCAAAAUAUUCUCAGUCAGCCAUCCUUUAGUUAUUUGGGCUCUUUCUCUUCUCCCUCCCUCUCUCUCUCCUUGGUCCAUUAACUAAAAUAGUUACCAUCUGUUCAAAAGGUAUUUUGUACCAGACAUGGCCUACAUUAUACUGUUUCAUCUUCACAUGAAGUAGGUCCUGUUAGUAUACCCAUUCUACAGAUGAAAGAAGCUGAGGCCCCAAAUUGUUAAGCAACCUUGCCAAGCUCAUGUAGCUAGAAUGAGGCAAGAGCAGGACUCUCCACAAACUGACCUUGCAACCUUUACCUUUAACCAUUGCCCAACCUAUCUCCAUUUCCAUCCAGCAGAUUUUUGUUCAUUAGUUAAUCCUUUAGAGAGGCUAGUUAAUAGAAUUCCGUUUAUGAGAACUUCCUAUUUUACCCUUUCAGUGAAGUACUUGGGAGGAGGGUCCUCCUCCCAAGUAGGGUACUGUGGGACUCACUGUCAGGUACAGCUCCUUUCUCUCAGUCUUAGCAUGGUGCAUGCUUGGGUUUGGGCCAUUGCCACAGUCUUCCGGGAAGGAGAAGCUAGAAGAAAGGCUUCUUGGCUCUGGCACACUCUUAACAAGCAAGAGAGGAGCCUCUCGGUGGGGCCAAUCUGUCACUGGCUCUAUAUUUAGCACCAUCUGCCAGGAAUAUUUCCAACGGCCUAUUUUGAUACAUAGCACUUUGUGCAAAUGAGAGUGCUCCGCCACUAGCUCGUGGGAAACCAAGGGCAUUAAGUGGGUUUUCUGGCUCAUAUUGUGUUGCAAGUUGGUCCUUCUGCCAGACUUCAAAUGAAAUACGGAGAAGGAGUGAGGUAGAGUUUUUCCCAGGGUGUUAGUCCCAGGGGCCCACGGUUUUAGUGGCUCAAAAAUCAACCAGAGCAGGCAGCUGGAGCGAUGUUGGAGAUGGUUCUUGCCGGAGUGAGGGGACAGGACUACACAGACCUGAGGCUCUUUCGCUGCAUGCUCAACGCAGAGUUUCCCAGCUCCAUCUCUGAAACCAAUACAGACUCUUGUAGCCAUAGCUAACCCCAGCACAUCCUUCUUGGAUCUCAGGCUCCCUUUUCUUGAGUAGCAUUCAGUUGCACUCAUCUGGUCCUCUUCUUCCUUUAAGGCAUCCUGGUGAGGAAGAUUCUAUUGUUCCAUUACACAGAACAUCUGCAGAUCAACCAGGUGUUCCUGGGCAGGGUCUCUGUCUCUCAAACAGUGCAGGAGCGAGGGCAUCAGGAGGUGCUGGAGGGGUUCCCUCCCUCAGAGACUGAGCUGAACCUUAAACAAGCCCUGAAGCUCCAAAUUGAGGGCUCUGAUCCCAGCUUCAACUCCAAGAAGGAAACGCCCUUGUGAGAGUUUCCCCUUCUGUGAAACAGAAGGCAUUGUGGUCAGAAAGGCCAUCCAGCUGCCAGAUGGAAGCAAGACACCUGAGGAUGUGCUGAUGAGACUGUGACUCCCUCAGUA
rnacentral:lncRNA from 1 species